AUUAAAUAAAUUAUUUUUUUUAUUUUAAAAAAAAUAUUUUUUUGUUACAGUAAAGUUUUAUGAAAUAAUAUAAAGUUAUUAUAGUUAAUUAGUAUAGUGAUAGAAUUUUUAAAAAUAUUAUAAAGAAUAAUUUAAUUUUAGUACCUUUUGUAUCAGGGUUUAUUAAAUAAGAGUUAAGAAUUUAAUUUUCUCGAUUUUAAAAGAGUUAAUUAUUUAUAAAUUUUAUUGUAGAAUAAAUAUUUAUAAUAAGUAAUUAGUAAUGAAACGUUAGUCGUUUUUAAAUAUAUCUAGUUUUUUUAGAAUAAAAUUUAAUUUUUUAUAUAUUAAUAUUUUUUUAAAUAAUAAUUAAAAAUUUAAUAUAUAUUAUAUUAUUAGGGUUUAGCUUAGUAGUAGAUUACUAUAAAUAAUAGAAAUUUAAAUAAAUUUGUAGGAUUAGAAAUUUUUAUCAUUUAAUUUGUUAUAAUUAAUUUAUUUAAAAUAAAAAUUUAUAUUUAUUUUAGUUUAUUUAUAGAAAUAUAAAAUUUAAUAGUUAAAGUUUUAGAAAUAAUGAUAAAAUUAGUAUAAGUAUAGUUUAAAUGUAAGUAAUAAUUAUAUGUUAUAAAAAGUAAUUCGGCAAAUAAUUUUUCGCCUGUUUAUUAAAAACAUGUCUUUUUGAUUAUAAUUUAAAGUCUAACCUGCCCAAUGAAUUAUUUAAUGGCUGCAGUAUUUUGACUGUACAAAGGUAGCAUAAUCAUUAGUUUCUUAAUUAGAAACUGGAAUGAAAGGUUGAACGAGAAAAUUUCUGUCUCUUUAUAAAUUUUUUAGAAUUUUAUUUUUGAGUUAAAAAGCUUAAAUAUAUUUAAAAGACGAGAAGACCCUUUAGAGUUUUAUAUUAUAAUAUUUUUAUUUAAAAUUUUUAAUUUUUUAUUAUAAAUUUAUAAUAAUAUUUUAUUGGGGUGAUAGAAAAAUUUAUUUAACUUUUUAGUAAUAAUAACAUUAAUUUAUGAAUUUUUGAUCCAUUAAUAUGAUUAUAAGAUUAAAUUACCUAAGGGAUAACAGCGUAAUUUCUUUUAAGAGUUCUUAUCGAUAAAGAAGUUUGCGACCUCGAUGUUGGAUUAAAAUUUAUUAUUGGUGUAGAAGCUAAAUAAUUAGGUCUGUUCGACCUUUAAAAUUUUACAUGAUCUGAGUUUAAACCGGUGUGAGCCAGGUUGGUUUCUAUCUUUAAAGAAAGAAAAUAUUUUAGUACGAAAGGACCAUAUAUUUAUAAUAAUUAUUUAUUUUUGAAUAAAAUUAUUAU
rnacentral:rRNA from 1 species